rnacentral:ncRNA from 1 species
UGGACCCGGUACUAACCGGGUGGCUCUUCCGGCCGCCGACCCGCCGGACAAC